GGCCUGAUAGCUCAGUUGGGAGAGCGUGAGAUUCCAAAGAAACCUUUGCAUCUCAAGGUCAUCCGUUCAAGCCGGGUUCGGGUCA